GAUGAAGAACGUAGCGAAAUGCGAUAAGUAAUGUGAAUUGCAGAAUUCAGUGAAUCAUCGAAUCUUUGAACGCACAUUGCGCCCGCCAGUAUUCUGGCGGGCAUGCCUGUCCGAGCGUCAUUUGAACCCUCGAACCCCUCCGGGGGGUCGGCGUUGGGGAUCGGCCCUGCCUCUUGGCGGUGGCCGUCUCCGAAAUACAGUGGCGGUCUCGCCGCAGCCUCUCCUGCGCAGUAGUUUGCACACUCGCAUCGGGAGCGCGGCGCGUCCACAGCCGUUAAACACCCAACUUCUGAAAUGUUGACCUCGGAUCAGGUAGGAAUACCCGCUGAACUUAAGCAUAUCAAUAAGCGGAGGA
rnacentral:misc_RNA from 1 species